ensembl:snRNA U4 U4 spliceosomal RNA
AGCUUUGCGCAGUGGCAGUAUUGCAGCCAAUGAGGUUUACCCAAAGCAUGAUUAUUGCUAAUUGAAAACUUUCCCCAAAGUCGCCACAGUCCAGUGUGGAGUGGCUGCCAUCUUCGAAAUACAUAAAUUAGA